rnacentral:rRNA from 1 species
UAUUAUUAUAAUUUAAAAAUUAAUAUAUUAAGGUAGUAGUAGUUAUAGUCUUGAAACCUAAAAAAUUUGGCGGUAUUUUAGUCUAUUCAGAGGAACUUGUUCUAUAAUCGAUAAUCCACGAUGGACCUAACUUAAAUUUGUAUUCAGUUUAUAUAUCGUUGUUAUAAAAUAUUUUAUAAGAAUAAUAAUAUUUUUAAUUUUUUAUAAAAAAAUAUAUCAGAUCAAGGUGUAGCUUAUAUUUAAGAAGAAAUGGGUUACAAUAAAGUUAUUUAUAUGAAUAUAAAUUUGAAAUGUUUAUUGAAGGUGGAUUUGAUAGUAAAUUUAUAUAGAUAAAUAAAUUGAUUUUAGCUCUAAAAUAUGUA